GGUUAAGCGACUAAGCGUACACGGUGGAUGCCUAGGCAAUCAGAGGCGAUGAAGGACGUGCUAAUCUGCGAUAAGCGUCGGUAAGGUGAUAUGAACCGUUACAACCGACGAUUUCCGAAUGGGGAAACCCAGUGCAAUUC
rnacentral:rRNA from 1 species